AUUGAACGCUGGCGGCAGGCUUAACACAUGCAAGUCGAGCGGAGAUGAGGUGCUUGCACCUUAUCUUAGCGGCGGACGGGUGAGUAAUGCUUAGGAAUCUGCCUAUUAGUGGGGGACAACAUUCCGAAAGGAAUGCUAAUACCGCAUACGCCCUACGGGGGAAAGCAGGGGAUCUUCGGACCUUGCGCUAAUAGAUGAGCCUAAGUCGGAUCAGCUAGUUGGUGGGGUAAAGGCCUACCAAGGCGACGAUCUGUAGCGGGUCGGAGAGGAUGAUCCGCCACACUGGGACUGAGACACGGCCCAGACUCCUACGGGAGGCAGCAGUGGGGAAUAUUGGACAAUGGGCGGAAGCCUGAUCCAGCCAUGCCGCGUGUGUGAAGAAGGCCUUUUGGUUGUAAAGCACUUUAAGCGAGGAGGAGGCUACUUAGAUUAAUACUCUAGGAUAGUGGACGUUACUCGCAGAAUAAGCACCGGCUAACUCUGUGCCAGCCGCCGCAGUAAAAC
rnacentral:rRNA from 1 species